rnacentral:rRNA from 1 species
AUUGAACGCUGGCGGCAUGCCUUACACAUGCAAGUCGAACGGCAGCACGGGAGCAAUCCUGGUGGCGAGUGGCGAACGGGUGAGUAAUAUAUCGGAACGUGCCCGGUCGUGGGGAUAACGUAGCGAAAGCUACGCUAAUACCGCAUACGAUCUACGGAUGAAAGCGGGGGAUCGCAAGACCUCGCGCGAUUGGAGCGGCCGAUAUCAGAUUAGGUAGUUGGUGAGGUAAAGGCUCACCAAGCCGACGAUCUGUAGCUGGUCUGAGAGGACGACCAGCCACACUGGGACUGAGACACGGCCCAGACUCCUACGGGAGGCAGCAGUGGGGAAUUUUUGGACAAAUGGGCGCAAGCCUGAUCCAGCAAUGCCGCGUGCAGGAUGAAGGCC